rnacentral:rRNA from 1 species
GACGAACGCUGGCGGCGUGCUUAACACAUGCAAGUCGAGCGGUAAGGCCCUUUCGGGGGUACACGAGCGGCGAACGGGUGAGUAACACGUGGGUGACCUGCCUUUAGCUCUGGGAUAAGCCUGGGAAACCGGGUCUAAUACCGGAUAUGACUCCGCGGCGCAUGUUGUGGGGUGGAAAGCCUUGUGCGGCUGGAGAUGGGCCCGCGGCCUAUCAGCUUGUUGGUGGGGUGAUGGCCUACCGAAGGCGACGACGGGUAGCCGGCCUGAGAGGGCGACCGGCCACACUGGGACUGAGACACGGCCC